rnacentral:lncRNA from 1 species
CAGUGAAGAAGAUGUCAGUACUGAGGUGUGUGAGAGAUAUGAAGGAGGUUGUUAAACAUCUGAUGACAGAGAGAAACAGGCUGCAGAGACUUUGAGCUUUGAUUACCAACACAUUUGUAUCAUUGCUGACAGUGACCUCUAAACUUCUUCAGCUCUGAACAGAUUAUUAAACCUUAAUAAUAAUAAUAAUAAUAAUAAUAAUAAUAAUAAUAAGCUUUAUUUGUAGAGCACCUUUCAUACAAGAACUACAGCCCAAAGUGCUUCACAGCAGAAACAUCAAACUUAGUAGAAGAUGAGACAGAGCAUUUACAGCACAAUAAUCACAGUGUUGAUGUAAAUGAGUGUGAAGUCAAUUAAAAUAAUAUAAAUAACAGAAUUAAAAUAGUAUAAAUAACACUGGAGAUCAUGCCUAGUAUCUGUAUCUGUGCCGUACUUAACGACCUCCUGAAACCACGUUCAUCACCAUUCUUGUAGAUGUUUGAAAGGAUCAGAGCCACAUGUUGAAAGCAUGAGAUCCACAAUGGGCCCCUGUGGCCCUUCAGCUGGUUUACUCCCUUUGCUACACAUUCUUCAGAGUCUUCCCGUUUCAUAAACAAACCCCACUUUGUUAAGUUUUAUGAAAUCUAUCGGUUAAAGACAGUUUUUCUCCAACAAUAUUCUUUAAUCUUUCACUUUUCCACUAAUUGUGUAAAGAACAUGAAACACAUUUAUCAGAGGAGCUUCCUCUUGUUCCCGUGGUAACACCGUCUGUCUGAUCUCAGGCUUUUCAAAAAUACACACCUUUACACAUUCAAUGUUCCACCUUGAACUAACUCAAGCAGCAACAUUGUUUUCUAAAGUUACAUCAUGUUUUCUUUAUUCAGAUUGAGGGUCUACAGGCUGUCAGAGAUCAGCUGGGCUUCUCUGUUCUCAGCUCUGAAGUCCAACCCCCCCCUCCUGAGAGAAGCUGGAGCUGUGGAACAUCAAGCCUGCAGGAUUCAUCAGUGAAGCUGCUGUGUGACCUUCUGGAGAGUCCAGACUGCAGACUGGAGACUCUCAGGAUCGAUGACGAGUUGAUCACAGCUGAGAAACACACAACAUGUGAGUAUUGCAGCAUAUCCUCCAUUCAUCCAGAUAUUACAUGAACAUCUGAUCUUAAAAUGAGAUGCCCUCAUCGUACACAAACUACUUUCAAUUGUGUUUCUGUUUGAUAUAUAAAAUAUAUAUUCUAUUUCUAAAAUA